rnacentral:misc_RNA from 1 species
GAUGAAGAACGUAGCGAAAUGCGAUAAGUAAUGAGAAUUGCAGAAUUCAGUGAAUCAUCGAAUCUUUGAACGCACCUUGCACCCUUUGGCAUUCCGAAGGGUAUGCUCGUUUGAGUGUCAUUGUACUCUCACUCUCCCGAUGCUUUUGGAUCGGGAGUGGUGGACUUGGGUGUUGCUGCUUUGCUGUGGCUCGCCUCAAAUGGAGUAGUGCAACUCUUGGUUGGACAUAGUACGGCGUGAUAAGUGUCUUCGCCGGCGCCUCAUUAUAGAGGGUGGCCGAUCGGGAGCUCUGUGCUUCAAACCGUCUUCGGACAACAUCUGACAACUUGGCCUCAAAUCGAGUAGGACUACCCGCUGAACUUAAGCAUAUCAAUAAGCGGAGGA